AUUGUGGCAAAAUUUGCUUGUCUUGUAAUGGAGUAGAGACUGUUAAAGAGUGUUUAGAUGUAGAAAUAUGUAGCGAUGAUGAGGUUUGCUUUACACAAAAAUACCUGACUCUUCAGAAGCAAGAGUUGUAUGAUUUUGGAUGCUCUCUUCAUCAGUAUUGUUUAUCUGGAAGUUCUGGUUCAGUAUUUGGAAGACGUCGAACAGGUCGACAUAUACUUUGUCAUACUUGCUGCAACAGUACAAAUGUGUGCAACAUGAAAAGUGCAUGUGAACC